rnacentral:lncRNA from 1 species
AGAACCUCUUCAGACUUCAGAAACUCUUCAGAAAGCUUCACUUUCAUUCAAAAAGGCACCUUACAUGAAAUACUUCUUGGAAAUGUCUGCAUACACACAGCUAAAACCACAACCACAACAGCAAGGCUACCAAAUGGAAAGUCGUGGUACAGAUUUGGGCUCUGUCCCCCAAGAACUUCGUUCACCAUGUAAUAGACUUAGGGUCCUAGUGAAGAAAACGUAGUUUGCCUGUAAUUAAUUGAAAGCAGUUAUUAGGUCAUCAUCAGCCACGGAGCAAAUAAUUGCAGCAGAUUUUUACUUAAAAUUGACCAGCCCUGGAGUGAUAGAUCGAUUGGAGGUAUAAAAAAUGAUGUAUCAAAACAUCAAUGUCGAUUAUUUGAAAUAUUGUAGUCGAAUUUUUUUAUUGCUUCAUCGGUUAAGUGUCUGAAAGUGCGGUGUUCAAAC